rfam:Nitrospirae bacterium 13_2_20CM_2_61_4 13_2_20cm_2_scaffold_32826, whole genome shotgun sequence.
CUGAUCGAAAAGGAGGAAGGUUCAACUUAACGGGCGACAAAGUCAGGGGAAGAUGGUGCGAAGCCAUCACGGUGCCGCCACUGUAAGCGGUGAGUGACCCUACCGAUGAGCCACUGUGCGCGUCCCGCGCACGGGAAGGCGUAGGGGAACGACGACCCGCAAGUCAGGAAACCCGCUUGUCGGCCAUCACGAAC